rnacentral:rRNA from 1 species
GACAGAGGGUGCGAACGUUGUUCGGAAUUACUGGGCGUAAAGCGCAUGUAGGCGGCAGCGCAAGUCGGGCGUGAAAUCCCACGGCUCAACCGUGGAAGUGCACUCGAAACUGCGCAGCUAGAGUCCUGGAGAGGAAGGUGGAAUGCUUGGUGUAGAGGUGAAAUUCGUAGAUAUCAAGCGGAACACCGGUGGCGAAGGCGGCCUUACUGGACAGUGACUGACGCUGAGAUGCGAAAGCGUGGGGAGCAACAGGGAUUAAGAAACCCG